rnacentral:rRNA from 1 species
CCUACGGGAGGCAGCAGUGAGGAAUAUUGGUCAAUGGGCGCUAGCCUGAACCAGCCAAGUAGCGUGAAGGAUGACUGCCCUAUGGGUUGUAAACUUCUUUUAUAUGGGAGUAAAGUGCAGAAUGUAUACCGCUUUGCCUGUACCUGAUGAAUAAGGAUCGGCUAACUCCGUGCCCGGAGCCGCGGGAACACGGAGGAUCCGAGCGUUAUCCCGGUUUAUUGGGUGUAAAGGGAGAGUAGGCGGGUUGUUUAAGCAGUAGUGAAAGUUUGCGGCUGAAACGUAAAAUUGCAGUUGAUACUGGCUGCCUUGAGUGCAGGAGAGGUAGGCGGAAUUCGUGGUGUAGCGGUGAAAUGCUGAGAUAUAAGGAAGAACUCCGAUUGCGAAGGCAGCCUGCUGGACUGUAACUGACGCUGAGGCUCGAAAGUGUGGGUAUCAAACAGGAUUAGAUACCCGUGUAGUC